rnacentral:rRNA from 1 species
UUUUAUUUGAGAGUUUGAUCCUGGCUCAGGAUGAACGCUGGCGGCGUGCCUAACACAUGCAAGUUGAGCGAUUUACUUCGGUAAAGAGCGGCGGACGGGUGAGUAACGCGUGGGUAACCUACCCUGUACACACGGAUAACAUACCGAAAGGUAUGCUAAUACGGGAUAAUAUAUUUGAGAGGCAUCUCUUAAAUAUCAAAGGUGAGCCAGUACAGGAUGGACCCGCGUCUGAUUAGUUAGUUGGUAAGGUAACGGCUUACCAAGGCGACGAUCAGUAGCCGACCUGAGAGGGUGAUCGGCCACAUUGGAACUGAGACACGGUCCAAACUCCUACGGGAGGCAGCAGUGGGGAAUAUUGCACAAUGGGCGAAAGCCUGAUGCAGCAACGCCGCGUGAGUGAUGAAGGCCUUCGGGUCGUAAAACUCUGUCCUCAAGGAAGAUAAUGACGGUACUUGAGGAGGAAGCCCCGGCU